rnacentral:rRNA from 1 species
GCUUCCUACGGGAGGCAGCAGUAGGGAAUCUUCCGCAAUGGGCGAAAGCCUGACGGAGCAACGCCGCGUGAGUGAUGAAGGCCUUCGGGUUGUAAAACUCUGUCCUCUGUGAAGAACACUCCUGUGAGUAGAACGCUCAGGACCUGACGGUAACAGAGGAGGAAGCCCCGGCUAACUACGUGCCAGCAGCCGCGGUAAUACGUAGGGGGCAAGCGUUGUCCGGAAUCACUGGGCGUAAAGCGCGCGCAGGCGGCGAUCUGCGUCUGGGGUGAAAGCCCGGAGCUCAACUCCGGGAUUGCCUUGGAUACGGGGUCGCUUGAGGAUCGGAGAGGCAAGGGGAAUUCCACGUGUAGCGGUGAAAUGCGUAGAGAUGUGGAGGAACACCUGUGGCGAAGGCGCCUUGCUGGCCGAUUUCUGACGCUGAGGCGCGAAAGCGUGGGGAGCAAACAGGAUUAGAUACCCUGGUAGUCCACGCCGUAAACGAUGAGUGCUAGGUGUUGGGGGGUACCACCCUCAGUGCCGAAGCUAACGCAUUAAGCACUCCGCCUGGGGAGUACGGUCGCAAGACUGAAACUCAAAGGAAUUGACGGAAGC